rnacentral:lncRNA from 1 species
GACUCGGUUUCUUGGUUCCGUCCCAAAACGCCGAAGAAAGGCCCAAUGGCCUAGAAAGGGACGGUCGGACUUGGAACGGGGUCCGAGGCCUCGAAAGUCCACAUCUAGCUACUGGGUUGUCCGAUUCUGAGUGAUCUCGAAGUUUCUUGCCCACAAAAGCCGAACGGUGACGCCCCAGACUCGGUUUCUUGGUUUUGUCCCAUAACGGCGAAGAAAGGCACAAUGGCCUAGAAAGGGACGGUCGGACUUGGAACGGGGUCCGAGGCCUCGAAAGUCCACAUCUAGCUACUGGGUGGUCCGAUUCUGAGUGAUCUCGAAGUUUCUUGCCCACAAAAGCCAAACGGUGACGCCCUAGACUCGGUUUGUUGGUUCCGUCCCAAAACGUCGAAGAAAGGCACAAUGGCCUAGAAAGGGACAGUCGGACUUGGAACGGUGUCCGAGGCCUCGAAAGUCCACAUCUAGCUACUCGGUGGUCCGAUUCUGAGUGAUCUCGAAGUUUCUUGCCCACAAAAGGCGAACGGUGACGCCUCAGACUCGGUUUCUUGGUUCCGUCCGAAAACGCCGAAGAAAGGCACAAUGGCCUAGAAAGGGACGGUCGGACUUGGAACGCGGUGCGAGGCCUCAAAAGUCCACAUCUAGCUACUGGGUGGUCCGAUUCUGAGUGAUCUCGAACUUUCUUGCCCACAAAAGCCGAACGGUGACGCCCCAGACUCAGUUUCUUGGUUCCGUCCCAAAACGCCGAAGAAAGGCACAAUGGCCUAGAAAGGGACGGUCGGACUUGGAACGGGGUCCGAGGCCUCGAAAGUCCACAUCUAGCUACUCGGUGGUCCGAUUCUGAGUGAUCUCGAAGGUUCUUGCCCACAAAAGGCGAACGGUGACGCCCAGACUCGGUUUCUUGGUUCCGUCCCAAAACGCCGAAGAAAGGCACAAUAGGGUAAUCCAAGCUUCAAGAUUUAUAUUUAGGCUAACUUAAACAAAUCUUAAGUCUAGAUAAAACAUCCAAGUAUAACCAUUAUACAGGAUUUUAACCUAUGAUGUCUAGGUGAAAAACCAUUUUUAUUACCUCACACUCUCACGAAUGCUCAUAAAACUAGGUUAACUAGGCUCAAGAACUGAUUACGAUCUUCAGUAGGAGGUGUUCCGUAAACCGUCAACUUAAGAACCUCCAACCUUAGUCAUCUUAUCUGACUUGUUGACAAGAUUGAACCAGGUGAGCCUUUUGUAACCAGUUUUACAAGAUAUCGACCUAUUUCUAUGAAAAAUGGAAGAUAUGUUUAACCUAAGUGAGCAUGCAUUUAAUCUUUGUUAUUGAUUUUAAAAAGUCUAAUUUAUUUUAUAACACUUAUAAAAACUUCUAUACUUAAUCAAUCAUUUUAUCAAUAUAUACUCUUAUAAAAACAAUCAAUUAAUAUGGAUUUUAAUUUAUUUAACUUUAAUUAAAUCAUAUUUAAUUAAAUUAAAUCAAACAAUAAUUAAUUAAUUUGAUUAAAUCAUAUUUAAUCAAGAAUAACUUAAUUAAUUAAUAAUUAAUUAAUCAUAUUAAUUAAUUUCCAUAUUAAUCAAUUAACAUGCAUACAAUACAAUAUAACCUUUAUAUCAUACAUUUUAAUGCAUGAACAUGUUAACCUAUGGUGGGAUUUUAAAUCUAUAUGACAUUCAAAAUGCACAUACAAAUUUAAAUAACUUAAUCAUACAUCACAUGCAUAAAUAAAAAAAACACCCUAAAAUUGACUGAUUUUUGGCUCCUAAAUUAAGCUAAGUGCUAAAUUAUUACAUAAUUAAUUUGGUGUAGUACAGAACCACUCCCAAAAACUUCGAACCGGCUAAAAAACCAACCGAAACCGCUUGAACCGGCCCAAAAACCAAAUUUAUUGGCUUGAACCGGCCCAGGCGCACACGGGUCGUGCGAAGGCAGGCGCGCGGGCGAAGGCGGGCGCGGGCGCAUGCGGGCGGCGGGCGGAUGCGGGCGCGCAGGCGCAUGCGGCGCGCGGCGCAGCGGCGCGCAGGCGCAUGCGGCGCGGCAGGCGGCGCGGGCGCAUGCGGCGCGCAGGCGGCAGGCGGGCGCGGGGCGCAGGAGGGCGCGCGGCAUGCGGGUCGCGAAGCGGGUCAAGGCCGGGUUUUCGGGUCUGUGACCUUCUUUUCUUCAUUUUUUUCAAUUCUCUCACCCGGUUGAACCAAUUACAGCCUAGCUUCAACUCUAAUGACUUUUUUAUUUUUUAAAAAUUACAAACACUUUGCAACAAUAAAAAUAAGCCAUUAACAAGGCUAAUUACAAUAAUUAGAACAAAAACACUUAAUCUAGAGCCAAAAUCAUAAUAUAUCCAUUUUAGUUCAAACCAAAAUUUUCUAAUAAAUUUGAACCCACAAUGCAAUUGGGUAAAAAUGAAGCUCUGAUCCACCAUGAUAGAACUAAGUCUGCACAGCGGAAAAAGAAUCGAAUUUCUACCCUAAUUGCCACAAAUUAACAUCUUAACCAUAAAACUAAUCAAUUAGGGUUUUAAGAAGUAUUACCUUUGAAGCUUUCAAAAGGUUUGAUGUCUUCUUACAAUUCUACGAGAACCACUAGUACUCAACUGCUAUCCUCUAGACAAAGAACCGGGUUGUGGGACCCAAUUUUGGUGUAGAAAGUAAUGGAGAUAAAAUGAGAUUGGAAGCUUUCUUUUUUCUUUUGUUGAGAUUAUGAAAAGAUAAAAGAGGCAAAAAGUCCUUCAACAUUUGAAAACAUCUCUAUUUAUAGCCUAAUUACAUGCAAAAAUGCAUACAAUUCAAUUGCCAAAUCUCAACACCUAAUAUUCCACUAACAAUUAGUGGAACUUAGUGGGCUAGGUGUCUAUAUCUCAUAUAGCCACAUAUCCCACUAAGAGUUAGUGGGAUUAUCCAACAAAAUGUUGGAUUUUCCCACUAACUUAGUCCAAGGGUAAAAUGGUCAUUUGAUUUUUCUAGUCAAAAGUCAAACUUUGACUUUUCUAAGUCAAAAGUCAAUAUUUUGACUUUUUACCAUUUUGUCCGUCUUGACUAAUUCCAACCUCCCGAGCAUGAAUCCGCAUUCAUUUUUCCAAAAUUCAAAUCACAUUUGAAUAUAAGGCCGGUCAAAGUUUGACUUUUCAAAGUCAAAAGUCAACAUUUUGACUUUUACUAUUUUUGACCAAUUCCGAGCUUCUUAGUAUGAAUCCGCAUUCAUACUUAUAGUAUGUAAAACAUAAAGCUCUAUUUCUAAUUAGAAGACCGACGAUUAUAUCACUGUAUAUGUCGGUUUUCCUUUCUUCUCCCUAUUCGAACAAUUCGACUUAUUUCAUCACACUGUUCUAAGUUUAAUCCAUAUGAGCUAGCAGAGGAACCUAAUGGACCUAUAGAUCAUGGGCUCCAACGAUUCAAGAUUAACUAGCUAAACUCUUUUAAACCGAGUUAAUCAACAUUCGUUAACUAACGGGUCAUUCCACUAAAGUCCCGUAGUUGCACUCCCCUCACUAUAGAUAUAUUUGUGUCCAUUUGAUAAAACCAUAAUCAGUAAGUUAAUCCUUCACAGGUUGCUCGUAACCUUGGCUGGGUCAAAAUACCGUUUUACCCCCAAGAUUACAUCUUGCUCCUUAAGUCCCACUAAUCCACUAUUGAACAAUUGGUUUAAGGUUCAACCUAUAAACUUAAUCCCUCUCGGGCCAAUGAGAGGGUGGGGCCCCUUGUUCAAGACUUGGAUUCAGUGCUUAAGAGAGCAACCUAUCUACUAACCCUAAAGCGGGUAGGAGUGAAUUCCAUCUUGUACCCUAUGUUCCCAGCUAUCCACCCGAUCUUACCCCUGAAAUGGGAGGCUUAUUGGGCCAACGCUGAUGAGCUGCCCUCACCUAUGCAGAUCUAAGGAUAAUCUCGUAUGAACAGGAGUUCAUAGUUAACUCAGGAUUAAGACUAAGUUACCUUGGUCAUCAAUAAUUGAGAUAGUCAGUUUUAAACAGUAAACGGUGUUAUAACGUAAAAAUGACUAAUUCAUGGUUCAGUCUUAUGUAAACAUUUUACAUAGGAUGCCCCCACUUUCAUGUCUCUACAUGAACGAUUAGGAUCACCUCGUUUGUACUACAAAGUGGGCCGCAUCCAUAGUUUCUCUAAAUAAGGCGCCCAACCUUUAUUUCAUAUACUAUAGACUAUUUAGGCUAUAUACUCGAACUUGAUCCACGUUUUAUGUUUACACAUAAAGUUCAAGUUUAUUAAAAAAAUAGCCUUGGAACUUGAUUUAUUGGAUUUAAGAUUAUAAUAUUUAAUUUCUCAAUAACAACUUUAUUGAAUAGAAUAUGAUUUACAAACUACGAGUUUUAGGACAAAAAAUUCCAACAAACUCCCACUUGGACUAAAAUUCCUAGUGGUAUGAGAGAUGUAGUGUGAGAGAAAUAUAUGAAACUAGGGCACAUGGCCAAUAAGUCCUCACUUGUCCUAGUUUACAAACAUCGUACACCUAAACUGUGUAGGUGACCCUCAAACACUUUAGCCAUGAGGGCUUUUGUAAAAUGAUCAGCUUCCAUUGUGGAAUCACUAUACAAGUUUGCUUUAUGCUUCUCUCCAAACUACUGCUCCUCCAUUUAGAGUAAAUACUGAUCCUGAUGUAGACUUUCUCACAUCUUUAUCAGUUUGGAAAUCUGAAUCAGUGUAUCCAGUAAGGAUCAGAUCCUUUGUACGAUACAAGCAUGUAGAAUGUUUUUAACGGCUGUCCAGUGAUCACGUCCAUGAUUGGAUUGAUACCUACUGACCAUUCCUACUGAGUAGCAAAUGUCAGGUCUAGUACAUAACAUUGCAUACAUUAAACUUCCAACAGCGGAAGCAUAGGGAAUAUUUCUCAUAUCCUCAACUUCUUGAGGUGUCUUAGGACAUUGUUCCUUUGACAAAUGAAUUCCAUAUCUGUACGGCAGCAGACCCUUUUGGAAUUCUGCAUUUUAUAUCUAGACAACAUUUUGUCUAUGUAAGAUGCUUGAGACAUGGCUAGUGUUUUGUUCUUACGGUUUCGAACAAUUUGGAUUCCGAGAACGUAUUGUGCAUCUCCCAGAUCUUUCAUUUGAAAUUGCAUAGCUAGCCAUUUCUUGAUAUCAGUAAGAUAUCCUACGUCAUUUCCAAUAAGUAGAAUAUCAUCUACAUAUAAGACUAAAAAAUGCUAUAAUGGAAUUGACGACCUUUUGUAAACACAAGGCUCGUCAACAUUUUGUUCAAAGCCAUAAGAUUUGAUCGCAGUAUCAAAUCUUAUAUUCCAGGAUCUAGAAGCUUGUUUUAAUCCAUAAAUGGAUUUUUUAAGCUUACAAACCUUUUGUUCUUGAUCUUGUUCUAUAAACCCCUCUGGUUGAGACAUAUAGAUACUCUCUUCAAGAUUACCAUUCAAAAAAGCUGUCUUGACAUCCAUCUGCCAAAUUUCAUAAUCAUAAAAGUGGCGAUGGAUAAGAGUAUUCUAAUUGACUUUAACAUGGCAACAGGAGAGAAUUUCCUCAUAGUCUACUCCCUCUCUCUGGGUAUAACCCUUUGCCACAAGUCGAGCCUUGAAAGUCUGUACUUUACCGGCAUGGUCUCGUUUUCUCUUGUAGAUCCAUUUACAACCAAUAGGUUUUACGUCAUUUGUUGAUCUACUAGAGUCCAGACAGAAUUAAAGUACAUAGACUCCAUUUCGAGGUCCAUGGCUUUGAUCCAUUGGUCACGAUCUACAUCUUUCAUUGCCUGUUUAUAGGUUAAUGGAUCCUCUAUGCCAUCGUCAGGUAUGACGACUUGAGUUUCAAUUAAACCCAAAUAGCGAACAGGCUGAUGAACAACCUCCCACUACGUCGAGGCUCUCUCAACUGUUGAGAAGGAUGUGAUUGUCCAGAUUUCCUAGUCUUAUCAACUACCUUAGUGGAUGAACUAGGUUUAUCUAUAGCACUUUUGGAAAUUUCUUUUAAUACUAGUUUACUACGAGGUUGAUGAUCCUGAUGUGGUCUUCCUCUAAGAAUGUGGCAUUUGUUGACACAAAUAUUUUAUUUUCUUGAGGAUCACAAACCACCUCUUGAUUCUUUUGGAUAACCUAUAAAAAAAUAAUUUUGAACGAUGUUCCAAUUUCUUUGGAUUUUGUACCAACACGUGUGCUGGACAACCCCAAAUUCUAAAAUGACGUAAACUGCCUUUACGCCCUUUCCAUAGUUCAUAAGGUGUUUCUGAAACACUUUUAGAGGAACAUUAUUCAAAAUAUAAGCAGCUGUUUCUAAAGCAUAUCCCCAAAAAGAAUCUGACAUCUGAGAAAAACUUAUCAUAGAGCGAACCAUGUCUAACAAGGUCCGGUUUCUUCUUUCUGAUACACCGUUCUGUUGAGGUGUACUAGGUGCAGAGAGUUGUGACUGGAUUCCAUUUCUAUUAAAUAGUCUCGGAAUCGUAAGUCCAUAUACUCUCCACCUCGAUCUGAUCGAAGUAUUUUUAUUGUUUUACCUAAUUCGUUUUUUACUUCAGCCUUAUAUUCUUUGAACUUUUCAAGACUAUUAGACUUAUGAUGUAUUAGGUAAAUAUGACCAUACCUUGAAUAAUCAUCAAUGAAGCUAAUGAAAUAUUCAUAUCCACCUCGAGCUUUGACAUUCAUUGGUCCACAAAGGUCCGAAUGUACGAGCUCUAAGGUCCUUUGGCUCUUAGACCUUUUCCAGUAAAAGAUCUCUUGGUCAUUUUUCCUUCAAGACAAGAUUCACAAGGAGGUAAAGAGUUAUCUUCUAACGGACUUAGAAGCCCACUUUUAACCAAUCUCCCAAUCCUAUUGAGAUUAUGUGACCAAGUCUUAAGUGCCAUAAAUAGGCAUUAGAAGAAACUUUUUGUCUUUUAUUCUGAGUUUCAGCUGUUCUGAAUAUUUCAGUAUUUAAGACAAAAUUUGCUCUAGUUGGUCUUAACUUAUAUAAGUUGUCUUCAAGUAUAGCAGAACAAACUAGAAUUUAUAGAAAACGAACGCUUCAUUAAUUUCCAAAGAUAUUCUAUACAUUUGUUCCAAAAUACAAGAGAUAGAUAUUAAAUUUCUUUUCAUUUGAGGUACAUAUAAGACAUUCUUAAGUAUGACAUAUCAUCCCAAAACGCCGAAGAAAGGCACAAUGGCCUAGAAAGGGACGUCGACUUGGAACGGGGUCGAGGCUCGAAAGUCCACAUCUAGCUACUGGUGGUCCGAUUCUGAGUGAUCUCGAAGUUUCUUGCCCACAAAAGCCGAACGGUGACGCCCCAGACUCGGUUUCUUGGUUCCGUCCCAAAACGCCGAAGAAAGGCACAAUGGCCUAGAAAGGGACGGUCGGACUUGGAACGGGGUCCGAGGCCUCGAAAGUCCACAUCUAGCUACUGGGUGGUCCGAUUCUGAGUGAUCUCGAAGUUUCUUGCCCACAAAAGCCGAACGGUGACGCCCCAGACUCGGUUUCUUGGUUCCGUCCCAAAACGCCGAAGAAAGGCACAAUGGCCUAGAAAGGGACUUGGAACGGGGUCCGAGGCCUCGAAAGUCCACAUCUAGCUACUGGGUGGUCCGAUUCUGAGUGAUCUCGAAGUUUCUUGCCCACAAAAGCCGAACGGUGACGCCCCAGACUCGGUUUCUUGGUUCCGUCCCAAAACGCCGAAGAAAGGCACAAUGGCCUAGAAAGGGACGGUCGGACUUGGAACGGGGUCCGAGGCCUCGAAAGUCCACAUCUAGCUACUGGGUGGUCCGAUUCUGAGUGAUCUCGAAGUUUCUUGCCCACAAAAGCCGAACGGUGACGCCCCAGACUCGGUUUCUUGGUUCCGUCCCAAAACGCCGAAGAAAGGCACAAUGGCCUAGAAAGGGACGGUCGGACUUGGAACGGGGUCCGAGGCCUCGAAAGUCCACAUCUAGCUACUGGGUGGUCCGAUUCUGAGUGAUCUCGAAGUUUCUUGCCCACAAAAGCCGAACGGUGACGCCCAGACUCGGUUUCUUGGUUCCGUCCCAAAACGCCGAAGAAAGGCACAAUGGCCUAGAAAGGGACGGUCGGACUUGGAACGGGGUCCGAGGCCUCGAAAGUCCACAUCUAGCUACUGGGUGGUCCGAUUCUGAGUGAUCUCGAAGUUUCUUGCCCACAAAAGCCGAACGGUGACGCCCCAGACUCGGUUUCUUGGUUCCGUCCCAAAACGCCGAAGAAAGGCACAAUGGCCUAGAAAGGGACGGUCGGACUUGGAACGGGGUCCGAGGCCUCGAAAGUCCACAUCUAGCUACUGGGUGGUCCGAUUCUGAGUGAUCUCGAAGUUUCUUGCCCACAAAAGCCGAACGGUGACGCCCCAGACUCGGUUUCUUGGUUCCGUCCCAAAACGCCGAAGAAAGGCACAAUGGCCUAGAAAGGGACGGUCGGACUUGGAACGGGGUCCGAGGCCUCGAAAGUCCACAUCUAGCUACUGGGUGGUCCGAUUCUGAGUGAUCUCGAAGUUUCUUGCCCACAAAAGCCGAACGGUGACGCCCCAGACUCGGUUUCUUGGUUCCGUCCCAAAACGCCGAAGAAAGGCACAAUGGCCUAGAAAGGGACGGUCGGACUUGGAACGGGGUCCGAGGCCUCGAAAGUCCACAUCUAGCUACUGGGUGGUCCGAUUCUGAGUGAUCUCGAAGUUUCUUGCCCACAAAAGCCGAACGGUGACGCCCCAGACUCGGUUUCUUGGUUCCGUCCCAAAACGCCGAAGAAAGGCACAAUGGCCUAGAAAGGGACGGUCGGACUUGGAACGGGGUCCGAGGCCUCGAAAGUCCACAUCUAGCUACUGGGUGGUCCGAUUCUGAGUGAUCUCGAAGUUUCUUGCCCACAAAAGCCGAACGGUGACGCCCCAGACUCGGUUUCUUGGUUCCGUCCCAAAACGCCGAAGAAAGGCACAAUGGCCUAGAAAGGGACGGUCGGACUUGGAACGGGGUCCGAGGCCUCGAAAGUCCACAUCUAGCUACUGGGUGGUCCGAUUCUGAGUGAUCUCGAAGUUUCUUGCCCACAAAAGCCGAACGGUGACGCCCCAGACUCGGUUUCUUGGUUCCGUCCCAAAACGCCGAAGAAAGGCACAAUGGCCUAGAAAGGGACGGUCGGACUUGGAACGGGGUCCGAGGCCUCGAAAGUCCACAUCUAGCUACUGGGUGGUCCGAUUCUGAGUGAUCUCGAAGUUUCUUGCCCACAAAAGCCGAACGGUGACGCCCCAGACUCGGUUUCUUGGUUCCGUCCCAAAACGCCGAAGAAAGGCACAAUGGCCUAGAAAGGGACGGUCGGACUUGGAACGGGGUCCGAGGCCUCGAAAGUCCACAUCUAGCUAGUGGGUGGUCCGAUUCUGAGUGAUCUCGAAGUUUCUUGCCCACAAAAGCCGAACGGUGACGCCCAAGACUCGGUUUCUUGGUUCCGUCCCAAAACGCCGAAGAAAGGCACAAUGGCCUAGAAAGGGACGGUCGGACUUGGAACGGGGUCCGAGGCCUCGAAAGUCCACAUCUAGCUACUGGGUGGUCCGAUUCUGAGUGAUCUCGAAGUUUCUUGCCCACAAAAGCCGAACGGUGACGCCCCAGACUCGGUUUCUUGGUUCCGUCCCAAAACGCCGAAGAAAGGCACAAUGGCCUAGAAAGGGACGGUCGGACUUGGAACGGGGUCCGAGGCCUCGAAAGUCCACAUCUAGCUACUGGGUGGUCCGAUUCUGAGUGAUCUCGAAGUUUCUUGCCCACAAAAGCCGAACGGUGACGCCCCAGACUCGGUUUCUUGGUUCCGUCCCAAAACGCCGAAGAAAGGCACAAUGGCCUAGAAAGGGACGGUCGGACUUGGAACGGGGUCCGAGGCCUCGAAAGUCCACAUCUAGCUACUGGGUGGUCCGAUUCUGAGUGAUCUCGAAGUUUCUUGCCCACAAAAGCCGAACGGUGACGCCCCAGACUCGGUUUCUUGGUUCCGUCCCAAAACGCCGAAGAAAGGCACAAUGGCCUAGAAAGGGACGGUCGGACUUGGAACGGGGUCCGAGGCCUCGAAAGUCCACAUCUAGCUACUGGGUGGUCCGAUUCUGAGUGAUCUCGAAGUUUCUUGCCCACAAAAGCCGAACGGUGACGCCCCAGACUCGGUUUCUUGGUUCCGUCCCAAAACGCCGAAGAAAGGCACAAUGGCCUAGAAAGGGACGGUCGGACUUGGAACGGGGUCCGAGGCCUCGAAAGUCCACAUCUAGCUACUGGGUGGUCCGAUUCUGAGUGAUCUCGAAGUUUCUUGCCCACAAAAGCCGAACGGUGACGCCCCAGACUCGGUUUCUUGGUUCCGUCCCAAAACGCCGAAGAAAAGCACAAUGGCCUAGAAAGGGACGGUCGGACUUGGAACGGGGUCCGAGGCCUCGAAAGUCCACAUCUAGCUACUGGGUGGUCCGAUUCUGAGUGAUCUCGAAGUUUCUUGCCCACAAAAGCCGAACGGUGACGCGCCCAGACUCGGUUUCUUGGUUCCGUCCCAAAACGCCGAAGAAAGGCACAAUGGCCUAGAAAGGGACGGUCGGACUUGGAACGGGGUCCGAGGCCUCGAAAGUCCACAUCUAGCUACUGGGUGGUCCGAUUCUGAGUGAUCUCGAAGUUUCUUGCCCACAAAAGCCGAACGGUGACGCCCCAGACUCGGUUUCUUGGUUCCGUCCCAAAACGCCGAAGAAAGGCACAAUGGCCUAGAAAGGGACGGUCGGACUUGGAACGGGGUCCGAGGCCUCGAAAGUCCACAUCUAGCUACUGGGUGGUCCGAUUCUGAGUGAUCUCGAAGUUUCUUGCCCACAAAAGCCGAACGGUGACGCCCCAGACUCGGUUUCUUGGUUCCGUCCCAAAACGCCGAAGAAAGGCACAAUGGCCUAGAAAGGGACGGUCGGACUUGGAACGGGGUCCGAGGCCUCGAAAGUCCACAUCUAGCUACUGGGUGGUCCGAUUCUGAGUGAUCUCGAAGUUUCUUGCCCACAAAAGCCGAACGGUGACGCCCCAGACUCGGUUUCUUGGUUCCGUCCCAAAACGCCGAAGAAAGGCACAAUGGCCUAGAAAGGGACGGUCGGACUUGGAACGGGGUCCGAGGCCUCGAAAGUCCACAUCUAGCUACUGGGUGGUCCGAUUCUGAGUGAUCUCGAAGUUUCUUGCCCACAAAAAGCCGAACGGUGACGCCCCAGACUCGGUUUCUUGGUUCCGUCCCAAAACGCCGAAGAAAGGCACAAUGGCCUAGAAAGGGACGGUCGGACUUGGAACGGGGUCCGAGGCCUCGAAAGUCCACAUCUAGCUACUGGGUGGUCCGAUUCUGAGUGAUCUCGAAGUUUCUUGCCCACAAAAGCCGAACGGUGACGCCCCAGACUCGGUUUCUUGGUUCCGUCCCAAAACGCCGAAGAAAGGCACAAUGGCCUAGAAAGGGACGGUCGGACUUGGAACGGGGUCCGAGGCCUCGAAAGUCCACAUCUAGCUACUGGGUGGUCCGAUUCUGAGUGAUCUCGAAGUUUCUUGCCCACAAAAGCCGAACGGUGACGCCCCAGACUCGGUUUCUUGGUUCCGUCCCAAAACGCCGAAGAAAGGCACAAUGGCCUAGAAAGGGACGGUCGGACUUGGAACGGGGUCCGAGGCCUCGAAAGUCCACAUCUAGCUACUGGGUGGUCCGAUUCUGAGUGAUCUCGAAGUUUCUUGCCCACAAAAGCCGAACGGUGACGCCCCCGACUCGGUUUCUUGGUUCCGUCCCAAAACGCCGAAGAAAGGCACAAUGGCCUAGAAAAGGACGGUCGGACUUGGAACGGGGUCCGAGGCCUCGAAAGUCCACAUCUAGCUACUGGGUGGUCCGAUUCUGAGUGAUCUCGAAGUUUCUUGCCCACAAAAGCCGAACGGUGACGCCCCAGACUCGGUUUCUUGGUUCCGUCCCAAAACGCCGAAGAAAGGCACAAUGGCCUAGAAAGGGACGGUCGGACUUGGAACGGGGUCCGAGGCCUCGAAAGUCCACAUCUAGCUACUGGGUGGUCCGAUUCUGAGUGAUCUCGAAGUUUCUUGCCCACAAAAGCCGAACGGUGACGCCCCAGACUCGGUUUCUUGGUUCCGUCCCAAAACGCCGAAGAAAGGCACAAUGGCCUAGAAAGGGACGGUCGGACUUGGAACGGGGUCCGAGGCCUCGAAAGUCCACAUCUAGCUACUGGGUGGUCCGAUUCUGAGUGAUCUCGAAGUUUCUUGCCCACAAAAGCCGAACGGUGACGCCCCAGACUCGGUUUCUUGGUUCCGUCCCAAAACGCCGAAGAAAGGCACAAUGGCCUAGAAAGGGACGGUCGGACUUGGAACGGGGUCCGAGGCCUCGAAAGUCCACAUCUAGCUACUGGGUGGUCCGAUUCUGAGUGAUCUCGAAGUUUCUUGCCCACAAAAGCCGAACGGUGACGCCCCAGACUCGGUUUCUUGGUUCCGUCCCAAAACGCCGAAGAAAGGCACAAUGGCCUAGAAAGGGACGGUCGGACUUGGAACGGGGUCCGAGGCCUCGAAAGUCCACAUCUAGCUACUGGGUGGUCCGAUUCUGAGUGAUCUCGAAGUUUCUUGCCCACAAAAGCCGAACGGUGACGCCCCAGACUCGGUUUCUUGGUUCCGUCCCAAAACGCCCGAAGAAAGGCACAAUGGCCUAGAAAGGGACGGUCGGACUUGGAACGGGGUCCGAGGCCUCGAAAGUCCACAUCUAGCUACUGGGUGGUCCGAUUCUGAGUGAUCUCGAAGUUUCUUGCCCACAAAAGCCGAACGGUGACGCCCCAGACUCGGUUUCUUGGUUCCGUCCCAAAACGCCGAAGAAAGGCACAAUGGCCUAGAAAGGGACGGUCGGACUUGGAACGGGGUCCGAGGCCUCGAAAGUCCACAUCUAGCUACUGGGGUGGUCCGAUUCUGAGUGAUCUCGAAGUUUCUUGCCCACAAAAGCCGAACGGUGACGCCCCAGACUCGGUUUCUUGGUUCCGUCCCAAAACGCCGAAGAAAGGCACAAUGGCCUAGAAAGGGACGGUCGGACUUGGAACGGGGUCCGAGGCCUCGAAAGUCCACAUCUAGCUACUGGGUGGUCCGAUUCUGAGUGAUCUCGAAGUUUCUUGCCCACAAAAGCCGAACGGUGACGCCCCAGACUCGGUUUCUUGGUUCCGUCCCAAAACGCCGAAGAAAGGCACAAUGGCCUAGAAAGGGACGGUCGGACUUGGAACGGGGUCCGAGGCCUCGAAAGUCCACAUCUAGCUACUGGGUGGUCCGAUUCUGAGUGAUCUCGAAGUUUCUUGCCCACAAAAGCCGAACGGUGACGCCCCAGACUCGGUUUCUUGGUUCCGUCCCAAAACGCCGAAGAAAGGCACAAUGGCCUAGAAAGGGACGGUCGGACUUGGAACGGGGUCCGAGGCCUCGAAAGUCCACAUCUAGCUACUGGGUGGUCCGAUUCUGAGUGAUCUCGAAGUUUCUUGCCCACAAAAGCCGAACGGUGACGCCCCAGACUCGGUUUCUUGGUUCCGUCCCAAAACGCCGAAGAAAGGCACAAUGGCCUAGAAAGGGACGGUCGGACUUGGAACGGGGUCCGAGGCCUCGAAAGUCCACAUCUAGCUACUGGGUGGUCCGAUUCUGAGUGAUCUCGAAGUUUCUUGCCCACAAAAGCCGAACGGUGACGCCCCAGACUCGGUUUCUUGGUUUCGUCCCAAAACGCCGAAGAAAGGCACAAUGGCCUAGAAAGGGACGGUCGGACUUGGAACGGGGUCCGAGGCCUCGAAAGUCCACAUCUAGCUACUGGGUGGUCCGAUUCUGAGUGAUCUCGAAGUUUCUUGCCCACAAAAGCCGAACGGUGACGCCCCAGACUCGGUUUCUUGGUUCCGUCCCAAAACGCCGAAGAAAGGCACAAUGGCCUAGAAAGGGACGGUCGGACUUGGAACGGGGUCCGAGGCCUCGAAAGUCCACAUCUAGCUACUGGGUGGUCCGAUUCUGAGUGAUCUCGAAGUUUCUUGCCCACAAAAGCCGAACGGUGACGCCCCAGACUCGGUUUCUUGGUUCCGUCCCAAAACGCCGAAGAAAGGCACAAUGGCCUAGAAAGGGACGGUCGGACUUGGAACGGGGUCCGAGGCCUCGAAAGUCCACAUCUAGCUACUGGGUGGUCCGAUUCUGAGUGAUCUCGAAGUUUCUUGCCCACAAAAGCCGAACGGUGACGCCCCAGACUCGGUUUCUUGGUUCCGUCCCAAAACGCCGAAGAAAGGCACAAUGGCCUAGAAAGGGACGGUCGGACUUGGAACGGGGUCCGAGGCCUCGAAAGUCCACAUCUAGCUACUGGGUGGUCCGAUUCUGAGUGAUCUCGAAGUUUCUUGCCCACAAAAGCCGAACGGUGACGCCCCAGACUCGGUUUCUUGGUUCCGUCCCAAAACGCCGAAGAAAGGCACAAUGGCCUAGAAAGGGACGGUCGGACUUGGAACGGGGUCCGAGGCCUCGAAAGUCCACAUCUAGCUACUGGGUGGUCCGAUUCUGAGUGAUCUCGAAGUUUCUUGCCCACAAAAGCCGAACGGUGACGCCCCAGACUCGGUUUCUUGGUUCCGUCCCAAAACGCCGAAGAAAGGCACAAUGGCCUAGAAAGGGACGGUCGGGACUUGGAACGGGGUCCGAGGCCUCGAAAGUCCACAUCUAGCUACUGGGUGGUCCGAUUCUGAGUGAUCUCGAAGUUUCUUGCCCACAAAAGCCGAACGGUGACGCCCCAGACUCGGUUUCUUGGUUCCGUCCCAAAACGCCGAAGAAAGGCACAAUGGCCUAGAAAGGGACGGUCGGACUUGGAACGGGGUCCGAGGCCUCGAAAGUCCACAUCUAGCUACUGGGUGGUCCGAUUCUGAGUGAUCUCGAAGUUUCUUGCCCACAAAAGCCGAACGGUGACGCCCCAGACUCGGUUUCUUGGUUCCGUCCCAAAACGCCGAAGAAAGGCACAAUGGCCUAGAAAGGGACGGUCGGACUUGGAACGGGGUCCGAGGCCUCGAAAGUCCACAUCUAGCUACUGGGUGGUCCGAUUCUGAGUGAUCUCGAAGUUUCUUGCCCACAAAAGCCGAACGGUGACGCCCCAGACUCGGUUUCUUGGUUCCGUCCCAAAACGCCGAAGAAAGGCACAAUGGCCUAGAAAGGGACGGUCGGACUUGGAACGGGGUCCGAGGCCUCGAAAGUCCACAUCUAGCUACUGGGUGGUCCGAUUCUGAGUGAUCUCGAAGUUUCUUGCCCACAAAAGCCGAACGGUGACGCCCCAGACUCGGUUUCUUGGUUCCGUCCCAAAACGCCGAAGAAAGGCACAAUGGCCUAGAAAGGGACGGUCGGACUUGGAACGGGUCCGAGGCCUCGAAAGUCCACAUCUAGCUACUGGGUGGUCCGAUUCUGAGUGAUCUCGAAGUUUCUUGCCCACAAAAGCCGAACGGUGACGCCCCAGACUCGGUUUCUUGGUUCCGUCCCAAAACGCCGAAGAAAGGCACAAUGGCCUAGAAAGGGACGGUCGGACUUGGAACGGGGUCCGAGGCCUCGAAAGUCCACAUCUAGCUACUGGGUGGUCCGAUUCUGAGUGAUCUCGAAGUUUCUUGCCCACAAAAGCCGAACGGUGACGCCCCAGACUCGGUUUCUUGGUUCCGUCCCAAAACGCCGAGAAAAGGCACAAUGGCCUAGAAAGGGACGGUCGGACUUGGAACGGGGUCCGAGGCCUCGAAAGUCCACAUCUAGCUACUGGGUGGUCCGAUUCUGAGUGAUCUCGAAGUUUCUUGCCCACAAAAGCCGAACGGUGACGCCCCAGACUCGGUUUCUUGGUUCCGUCCCAAAACGCCGAAGAAAGGCACAAUGGCCUAGAAAGGGACGGUCGGACUUGGAACGGGGUCCGAGGCCUCGAAAGUCCACAUCUAGCUACUGGGUGGUCCGAUUCUGAGUGAUCUCGAAGUUUCUUGCCCACAAAAGCCGAACGGUGACGCCCCAGACUCGGUUUCUUGGUUCCGUCCCAAAACGCCGAAGAAAGGCACAAUGGUCCUAGAAAGGGACGGUCGGACUUGGAACGGGGUCCGAGGCCUCGAAAGUCCACAUCUAGCUACUGGGUGGUCCGAUUCUGAGUGAUCUCGAAGUUUCUUGCCCACAAAAGCCGAACGGUGACGCCCCAGACUCGGUUUCUUGGUUCCGUCCCAAAACGCCGAAGAAAGACACAAUGGCCUAGAAAGGGACGGUCGGACUUGGAACGGGGUCCGAGGCCUCGAAAGUCCACAUCUAGCUACUGGGUGGUCCGAUUCUGAGUGAUCUCGAAGUUUCUUGCCCACAAAAAGCCGAACGGUGACGCCCAGACUCGGUUUCUUGGUUCCGUCCCAAAACGCCGAAGAAAGGCACAAUGGCCUAGAAAGGGACGGUCGGACUUGGAACGGGGUCCGAGGCCUCGAAAGUCCACAUCUAGCUACUGGGUGGUCCGAUUCUGAGUGAUCUCGAAGUUUCUUGCCCACAAAAGCCGAACGGUGACGCCCCAGACUCGGUUUCUUGGUUCCGUCCCAAAACGCCGAAGAAAGGCACAAUGGCCUAGAAAGGGACGGUCGGACUUGGAACGGGGUCCGAGGCCUCGAAAGUCCACAUCUAGCUACUGGGUGGUCCGAUUCUGAGUGAUCUCGAAGUUUCUUGCCCACAAAAGCCGAACGGUGACGCCCCAGACUCGGUUUCUUGGUUCCGUCCCAAAACGCCGAAGAAAGGCACAAUGGCCUAGAAAGGGACGGUCGGACUUGGAACGGGGUCCGAGGCCUCGAAAGUCCACAUCUAGCUACUGGGUGGUCCGAUUCUUUGUGAUCUCGAAGUUUCUUGCCCACAAAAGCCGAACGGUGACGCCCCAGACUCGGUUUCUUGGUUCCGUCCCAAAACGCCGAAGAAAGGCACAAUGGCCUAGAAAGGGACGGUCGGACUUGGAACGGGGUCCGAGGCCUCGAAAGUCCACAUCUAGCUACUGGGUGGUCCGAUUCUGAGUGAUCUCGAAGUUUCUUGCCCACAAAAGCCGAACGGUGACGCCCCAGACUCGGUUUCUUGGUUCCGUCCCAAAACGCCGAAGAAAGGCACAAUGGCCUAGAAAGGGACGGUCGGACUUGGAACGGGGUCCGAGGCCUCGAAAGUCCACAUCUAGCUACUGGGUGGUCCGAUUCUGAGUGAUCUCGAAGUUUCUUGCCCACAAAAGCCGAACGGUGACGCCCCAGACUCGGUUUCUUGGUUCCGUCCCAAAACGCCGAAGAAAGGCACAAUGGCCUAGAAAGGGACGGUCGGACUUGGAACGGGGUCCGAGGCCUCGAAAGUCCACAUCUAGCUACUGGGUGGUCCGAUUCUGAGUGAUCUCGAAGUUUCUUGCCCACAAAAGCCGAACGGUGACGCCCCAGACUCGGUUUCUUGGUUCCGUCCCAAAAACGCCGAAGAAAGGCCCAAUGGCCUAGAAAGGGACGGUCGGACGUGGAACGGGGUCCGAGGCGUCGAAAGUCAACAUCUAGCUACUGGGUGGUCCGAUUCUGAGUGAUCUCGAAGUUUAUUGCCCACAAAAGCCGAACGGUGACGCCCCAGACUCGGUUUCUUGGUUCCGUCCCAAAACGCCGAAGAAAGGCACAAUGGCCUAGAAAGGGACGGUCGGACUUGGAACGGGGUCCGAGGCCUCGAAAGUCCACAUCUAGCUACUGGGUGGUCCGAUUCUGAGUGAUCUCGAAGUUUCUUGCCCACAAAAGCCGAACGGUGACGCCCCAGACUCGGUUUCUUGGUUCCGUCCCAAAACGCCGAAGAAAGGCACAAUGGCCUAGAAAGGGACGGUCGGACUUGGAACGGGGUCCGAGGCCUCGAAAGUCCACAUCUAGCUACUGGGUGGUCCGAUUCUUUGUGAUCUCGAAGUUUCUUGCCCACAAAAGCCGAACGGUGACGCCCCAGACUCGGUUUCUUGGUUCCGUCCCAAAACGCCGAAGAAAGGCACAAUGGCCUAGAAAGGGACGGUCGGACUUGGAACGGGGUCCGAGGCCUCGAAAGUCCACAUCUAGCUACUGGGUGGUCCGAUUCUGAGUGAUCUCGAAGUUUCUUGCCCACAAAAGCCGAACGGUGACGCCCCAGACUCGGUUUCUUGGUUCCGUCCCAAAACGCCGAAGAAAGGCACAAUGGCCUAGAAAGGGACGGUCGGACUUGGAACGGGGUCCGAGGCCUCGAAAGUCCACAUCUAGCUACUGGGUGGUCCGAUUCUGAGUGAUCUCGAAGUUUCUUGCCCACAAAAGCCGAACGGUGACGCCCCAGACUCGGUUUCUUGGUUCCGUCCCAAAACGCCGAAGAAAGGCACAAUGGCCUAGAAAGGGACGGUCGGACUUGGAACGGGGUCCGAGGCCUCGAAAGUCCACAUCUAGCUACUGGGUGGUCCGAUUCUUUGUGAUCUCGAAGUUUCUUGCCCACAAAAGCCGAACGGUGACGCCCCAGACUCGGUUUCUUGGUUCCGUCCCAAAACGCCGAAGAAAGGCACAAUGGCCUAGAAAGGGACGGUCGGACUUGGAACGGGGUCCGAGGCCUCGAAAGUCCACAUCUAGCUACUGGGUGGUCCGAUUCUGAGUGAUCUCGAAGUUUCUUGCCCACAAAAGCCGAACGGUGACGCCCCAGACUCGGUUUCUUGGUUCCGUCCCAAAACGCCGAAGAAAGGCACAAUGGCCUAGAAAGGGAAGGUCGGACUUGGAACGGGGUCCGAGGCCUCGAAAGUCAACAUCUAGCUACUGGGUGGUCCGAUUCUGAGUGAUCUCGAAGUUUCUUGCCCACAAAAGCCGAACGGUGACGCCCCAGACUCGGUUUCUUGGUUCCGUCCCAAAACGCCGAAGAAAGGCACAAUGGCCUAGAAAGGGACGGUCGGACUUGGAACGGGGUCCGAGGCCUCGAAAGUCCACAUCUAGCUACUGGGUGGUCCGAUUCUUUGUGAUCUCGAAGUUUCUUGCCCACAAAAGCCGAACGGUGACGCCCCAGACUCGGUUUCUUGGUUCCGUCCCAAAACGCCGAAGAAAGGCACAAUGGCCUAGAAAGGGACGGUCGGACUUGGAACGGGGUUCGAGGCCUCGAAAGUCCACAUCUAGCUACUGGGUGGUCCGAUUCUUUGUGAUCUCGAAGUUUCUUGCCCACAAAAGCCGAACGGUGACGCCCCAGACUCGGUUUCUUGGUUCCGUCCCAAAACGCCGAAGAAAGGCACAAUGGCCUAGAAAGGGACGGUCGGACUUGGAACGGGGUCCGAGGCCUCGAAAGUCCACAUCUAGCUACUGGGUGGUUCGAUUCUGAGUGAUCUCGAAGUUUCUUGCCCACAAAAGCCGAACGGUGACGCCCCAGACUCGGUUUCUUGGUUCCGUCCCAAAACGCCGAAGAAAGGCACAAUGGCCUAGAAGAAAGGACGGUCGUACUUGGAACGGGGUCCGAGGCCUCGAAAGUCCACAUCUAGCGACUGGGUGGUUCGAUUCUGAGUGAUCUCGAAGUUUCUUGCCCACAAAAGCCGAACGGUGACGCCCCAGACUCGGUUUCUUGGUUCCGUCCCAAAACGCCGAAGAAAGGCAAAAUGGCCUAGAAAGGGACGGUCGGACUCGAAACGGGGUCCGAGGCCUCGAAAGUCCACAUCUAGCGACUGGGUGGUCCGAUUCUGAGUGAUCUCGAAGUUUCUUGCCCACAAAAGCAGAACGGUGACGCCCUAGACUCGGUUUCUUGGUUCCGUCCCAAAACGCCAAAGAAAGGCACAAUGACCAAGAAAGGGAUGGUCGGACUUGGAACGGGGUCUGAGGCCUCGAAAGUCCACAUCUAGCUACUGGGUGGUCCGAUUCUUUGUGAUCUCGAAGUUUCUUGCCCACAAAAGCCGAACGGUGACGCCCCAGACUCGGUUUCUUGGUUCCGUCCCAAACAGCCGAAGAAAGGCACAAUGGCCUAGAAAGGGACAGUCGGACUCGAAACGGGGUCCGAGGCCUCGAAAGACCACAUCUAGCUACUGGGUGGUCCGAUUUUGAGUGAUCUCGAAGUUGCUUGCCCACAAAAGCCGAACGGUGACGCCCCAGACUCGGUUUCUUGGUUUUGUCCCAAAACGCCAAAGAAAGGCACAAUGGCCUAGAAACGGACGGUCGAACUUGGAACGGGGUCUGAGGCCUCGAAAGUCCACAUCUAGCUACUGGGUGGUCCGAUUCUGAGUGACCUCGAAGUUUCUUGCCCACAAAAGCCGAACGGUGACGCCCCAGACUCGGUUUCUUGGUUCCGUCCCAAAACGCCGAAGAAAGGCACAAUGGCCUAGAAAGGGACGGUCGAACUUGGAAUGGGGUCCGAGGCCUCGAAAGUCCACAUCUAGCUACUGGGUGGUCCGAUUCUUUGUGAUCUCGAAGUUUCUUACCCACAAAAGCCUAACGGUGACGCCCCAGACUCGGUUUCUUGGUUCCGUCCCAAAACGCCGAAGAAAG